UACAGAGGGUGCAAGCGUUAAUCGGAGUUACUGGGCGUAAAGGGCACGUAGGUGGUUAUGUAAGUCAGUUGUGAAAUCCCCGGGCUUAACCUGGGAACUGCAGCUGAUACUGUAUGACUAGAGUCGAAGAGAGGGAAGCGGAAUUUCCGGUGUAGCGGUGAAAUGCGUAGAUAUCGGAAGGAACAUCUGUGGCGAAGGCGGCUUCCUGGCUUCAGACUGACACUGAGGUGCGAAAGCGUGGGUAGCGAACAGG
rnacentral:rRNA from 1 species